rnacentral:rRNA from 1 species
UACAGAGGGUGCAAGCGUUAAUCGGAAUUACUGGGCGUAAAGCGUGCGUAGACGGUUAUGUAAGUCAGAUGUGAAAGCCCCGGGCUCAACCUGGGAAUUGCAUUUGAGACUGCAUAGCUAGGGUGCGGAAGAGGGAAGCGGAAUUCCGGUGUAGCGGUGAAAUGCGUAGAUAUCGGAAGGAACACCAGUGGCGAAAGCGGCUCCUGGUCCAGCACCGACGUCAGGCACGAAAGCGUGGGGAGCAAACAGG